CUUUCUGUGCAGUCAGCUAAAAGCAGUGGUCUGUCCCACUGGCUUUGCAUUGUAGCUAUUUGUUGCCAGUCAUCUUUGCAGCCAUCUUUGAGAUCUUGUUGGCCAUUCUUCUUCCGUGUGUUUCUGGCAUUCUUUCAGGGUUUUCUUCCCUGUGUUGUCAUGAACUCAGGUCUUUCUUGCUGGCCUCUUCUGCAUCAAUAUUCCUGACUUUGCCAGCCCCUUUCCAUCACGGGUGGUGGCGUUUAACUCUCUUCUGGGCUCGUCCAGAGCAUCGGAGCCACAUGGUUGUGGCCUCAUAGGGCUUUCUGGCUGGCAGUGUCUUAUGUGUAGGAAUAGUUUUUUUUGUGUAGGGUUUUCCUUUGUGUCUGUGUCUGAUAUUUGUGUGUCUGUCUGUUUGGUGCUGGAGCUGCCUUGCUUGUGGGUUUUAGCUMUGGUAGUGUGCAGAGGAGAGUAGUGAUGGAAUGGUGAUUAGUCAGCAUCUGUGUGCUCCACUUUAUGUUGUGUGUGUGUUUUGUUAUAUAUUUUUUUUUGUAGAUGUGGCACAGCAGUUGGAGUGCCUGAGGGAGAUGGAGGAAGAAAGGGUCAUGCCCUAGGAAGGUGUGGAGGAAUGUGGAGAGUGGGUCGUUUGCGUGUGGGAGGAGCACGGCAAGGUGAGUGUCGGUCUGAGAGCGGUAGCAGAGCCUAGCACAGGGCUGUUGUCUCAUUGGUGCUGUCCCCAUUGCCCACUGCUGUUCUGGUUUUACAGGUGCAUGACAGGCCUCGGCGUGGCAGCCGGUUGCAUGGCAGUUGGGAUGGGCGAGCAGAGCAGGUGAAGGUGUGGGAGCAAAUGCUUGAUGUGGGUGGGCUGUGGUUUUGCAGGUGUGACCCGAGCGCCUGCUUUCUGUUUGUGUUUGCAAGUUUUGCAGGAAGUUGUGGAGAGGCAAAGUUGAGUGUUGACAAGAGCCUGAGCAGGUCCUGUGUGGGCCUUUCCCAGGCAUGGCUGAGGAUGUCAGGUGCUGCGGGUGUCCCCCCAAGCACAAUUUUGGAGUUUGGGAUUGGUGUGGUGCAGGUGAGCAGAGCGUCCAUGGCGCUUUGGUGGUGGGCGCUCUUGCGGACGAGGCUGGAGCUGACUGGCCUGGGGGUGA
rnacentral:lncRNA from 1 species